GUGAACGCUGGCGGUAGGCCUAACACAUGCCAGUCGAACGGCAGCACCGUAAGAGCUUGCUCUUACGGGUGGCGAGUGGCGGACGGGUGAGGAAUACAUCGGAAUCUACUUUUUCGUGGGGGAUAACGUAGGGAAACUUACGCUAAUACCGCAUACGACCUACGGGUGAAAGCAGGGGAUCUUCGGACCUUGCGCGAUUGAAUGAGCCGAUGUCGGAUUAGCUAGUUGGCGGGGUAAAGGCCCACCAAGGCGACGAUCCGUAGCUGGUCUGAGAGGAUGAUCAGCCACACUGGAACUGAGACACGGUCCAGACUCCUACGGGAGGCAGCAGUGGGGAAUAUUGGACAAUGGGCGCAAGCCUGAUCCAGCCAUACCGCGUGGGUGAAGAAGGCCUUCGGGUUGUAAAGCCCUUUUGUUGGGAAAGAAAGGCAGCAGGUUAAUACCCCGCUGUUCUGACGGUACCCAAAGAAUAAGCACCGGCUAACUUCGUG
rnacentral:rRNA from 1 species